rnacentral:misc_RNA from 1 species
UUYGGUUGUUUGCUUGGCCAUUGAACCUCGCGGGUGGCUGAUACGCUGCGGCAGCUUUGGGGAUGUCUAUCGUAAAGGUGCAUGAGUGGUGUUUGGUUUGAUACAGGUGGUCGGAUGCCUGCUUGAGCAGUCACGRCCAUGUGUACAUUCCUUUUCAGUUGUACGACAAGGCUUGUAUCGCCUGUGAUCGUAUUUGUGGGUUUCCUGUGUUGCAUACCUGAUCAAUGGUAUYGUUAUGAUCAAAAAAGUCUCUUUUUUGUCAAGCYUCGCACUUGUGAUGUUGGACGAACCUUGUAGCACCCUCUUUGAUCCAUUACGUUGAUGAACUUUCAUCGGUGUUUUGGCCCAUUGAGGAUUGCUUGGUCUCUCGGAUACGGAAGCUGAAGUGGGCAUGGGGUCGUAUGAUCCUUUUUGCCCUCGUUGAGCAUCCUUGCUUCUCUAAAACGACUGCCUCYCACGUAUGGCACGUCCCAGCGUGUUUGGCUAUGUCGAAGARGAA